rnacentral:lncRNA from 1 species
UUUAGACUAUAAAAAUGAUGACAUUGCUUGUUUAAAAAAUUAUGGGGAAAAAAAUUAUGAUUCUUUCUAAUUCCAGGACAAGAGAAUAUAAAAAGAGCCAUUGCACAGUGCCAAAGAAGCACAAAGCUAAACUGCAUAGUGCCAAUUGAGCACAAGGUCAAAGAGACCAACCAAUCCUGAUGAGAUUGAUGAAAUUUUUGAGCCAAGAAAAGAGGACUUGAACUUGUUUGGGGUUCGAGGUUGUGACUGUUUAACAUGUGUUAAAAGGCAGGUCUUCCUUGUCCCAUAUUCUACCAAGUAUCUCAAAUUUGGUUCCUAUCUGGCUCGUAUAAUCUAGUCCCUUUUCUGUCUUUCAUAGUGUGGCAAACUUUCUAUAGUCCUGGCUACUGAUUGGGUAAAUGCAUAAUUGCUUAAGUCAUUUUAAUUGGGCUCUGAUUCAAGGACCUGUUAUAGACUUAUUUUUCCUUUACUUAGAAUUUUUAUACAUUAGACUUUGAUAGUCUAUAUUUUGUCCAGAAAUUAUUUUUUUAAUUUGGAUUUUUAAAUAUUUUUUAUUUCUCUUGCCAAUUGAUUCAUGCACCUCACAAUUCAGCCAUGUAUCCCUAAGUGAUCCCUGUGUUUUUCAAUCAUCCUCUUCAAGGGGUUAUAUAUAAUUAUUAUUAUUUUAAAUUGCAGAGUAUAAAUUCCUUUUUAGAGUAAUUUUAGGUUAAGAAACAUGCUAUGUCUCCCAAUCCAGAAAGUGAACAGUUUGGAGAAGACACCAUGAAGAUGCCUCCACAGACCACAUGUUGCACUAGAAGAUUCAGAGUGAACUUUGGGAUGUGUGAUGCAGCAAGUAUGGUGGUAAGGUGGGGAUGGCUGAAAUCGCUAACCAGCCAUGGGCAGGUGGUUUUUAUUUUGUAUCCUCUUUAUUCCUUGAUUUCUAAUUAUCCUUAAUAAACCUCAUAAAAUAUAAUGAUUUUAUUAUUAGAGAUAUAAUUUAAUUUUUAUAUAUGUUCAUUAGGGAGAUUGGUCUAUAGCUUUCAUUCUCUGUUUUUGACCUGCCUGGCUUUGGAAUCAGUACCAUAUUUUUUUAAUAAGAGCAAUUUGGUAGAAUUCCUUCUUUGCUUAUUCUGUCAAAUAGUUUGUAUAGUAUUGGAGUUAGUUGUUCUUUGAAUGUCUGGUGGAAUUCACUUGUCAAUCCAUCAGGCCCUGGGGAUUUUUUUCUUAAGGAGUUCUUUGAUGGCUUGUUCAAUUUCUUUUUCUGAUAUGGAAUUAUUUAAGAAUUCUAUUUCUUCUUCUAUUAAUCUAGGCAAUUUAUAUUUUUGAAAAUAUUCAUCCAUAUCACCUAGGUUGCCAUAUUUAUUGCCAUAUAAUUGAGCAUAAUAGUUUUUAAUUAUUGCCUUAAUUCCCUCUUCAUUAGAGUUGGGGUCUCUCUUUUCAUCUAUGAUCCUUUUAAUUUGGUUUUCUUCUUUCCAUUUUUAUUAGAUUAACCAGUAGUUUGUCUAUUUUAUUUGUUUUUUUUCAAAAUAUCAGCUUCUAGCCUUAUUUAUUAAUUCAAUAGUUC